rnacentral:rRNA from 1 species
UACGUAGGGUGCAAGCGUUAAUCGGAAUUACUGGGCGUAAAGCGUGCGCAGGCGGUGAUGUAAGACAGAUGUGAAAUCCCCGGGCUCAACCUGGGAACUGCAUUUGUGACUGCAUCGCUGGAGUACAGUAGAGGACCAUGGAAUUCCAGGUGUAGCGGUGGAAUGCGUAGAUAUCUGGAAGAACACCGGUGGCGAAGGCGGUGGUCUGGGCUGUUACUGACGCUGAGGAGCGAAAGCCAGGGGAGCAAACGGG